GAACAACAGAGAGCGAGUAUUUCCAGACAAGUGAGGAAAUUCCCAGAAGCUAGCGGCCAAGGAACGUGAAUCCUGGAGAACAGGCUUGAGAUGAAGAAAGGAUUCCACAUCUCCUACGAAGCUGCUGAUUUUCCUUCCUCCCUCAGCAGCGACCCCCCCGAACUCCCCACUCACAGAGUCGGAUCCAUUGAAAAUAGCGAGAGGGCUGACAAGUUUUGGCAGCUGCGGGCUCACAGAUCACGAACCUCCAGUGGGGUUAUUAAUCCCCUUCUGGUGGCACUCAACCCGCCACGAUGCUGCCUCCCAGCUGACACCACCAAUGACAGCAAUGACAACCGCUACAGGAAUUGCUUUCCAGGGUUCCAAGAAGGUUUCAGCUGCACGACGCCCUUCACUCCUCACAAUAGACACGGGAAAAUGGGUAGAUUCUAGGUUAUUUUUCUAAAGAUGCAUGUAUUAGGUUAUGGUAUGCAUUUGGCUUUUUUGAGACAUCACAUAUUUGAAAAAAAGAUUUUUGUUGUUGUUGACCAAUAUACAAUAAAGCUUUUUAGGGGGUUAUAUAAUCUACA
rnacentral:lncRNA from 1 species